rnacentral:sRNA from 1 species
UUAUUAGGUUUAAAAACGAUAAUAAUAGCGAAAACGAAAAAAAUUAAUUUCGCAAAUAAAUUAUUGAAACCAACCAGGAAUUCUACAAACAAAAGUUCCGCGCAACCCAAUUUUAAAAGAAAUUCCAGGUUUUUCGAACUAAUAUUAACGUUAUUUUAAUUUUUUUUAACAAAUGCGAAAAAUUUAAAUUUAAAUUUCCAAUUAUUUUUAAAAAUAUAUUUGGAUAAAUUAAAAAGUAUUUUAUAUAAAUACGCGUUUACCAAAUAUUUUAUUUAAAAAUUUACCGUAAUAAAAUAAAAAAGGUAAUAUACGCGGCCAUUUUUUUCCGAAAAGGAAUUCUGUUUUAAUUCGAAUUUUUAUUGCGAAAAUAGUUUAAUAUAACCCCCGAAAAACAACGUUAAAAAAAUACUGACAUUUUUUUAAUUUUCGCAAAAUAUAAACGCAUUUUCCGUUUUUUAUUUUAAAAAUUUAAUAAAAAACAAUAAACCGAACGAAAUUUGGCCAAUUUGCGAUAAACCAAAUUAAAUUUUAUUUAUAUAACCGAAUUUAAAAAAUUUGUAAUAAAAUUAAAUAUAAUUAAUAAACCAAAACCUUCCAAUUUAUUAAAAAUUAAAAGCAAAAAUAAAAAACGAAAUAUCCAAAUUCGACCGACCCGAGCAUUUUUUCGAAUAUAUCGAAUUUGCUAUUAAAAUUAAAAACCGGAUUUACGAACGCCAAUAGGAAAAAUAAAACGGAUAAUAAAUAUUUGUUAUUUUAAUUCGAUAAAUUAAUAUGGGAUACAAAUACCAAAAUUUUUUACCAAUAUAUUAUAAAAAUAACGGUGGAUAAUAAUAACCCCGUUACGUAAUACGCCAAAUUUAUAAUAUAAUUUAUGGUAUUUAUAAUAAAUUAAUGGAUUUUUACGUUAUAUAAUAUAAACCGCCUCGCAAAAAUCCCAAAAACGGCAAAUAUUUUAAAUGCGACAAAAUCAAAUAUAUUAUUCAAAAUUAUUUUAGAAAUUAAAAUAGUACCCCCGGUUUUACCCAGAAUUUUAAAAAUAAAUCCGAAAAAUUAUAAAAAUUUAAUAUUACCAAUUAUUAAUAAAUAUAACCUAAUUAAUAUAACGUAAUAAAUUAAAUUAUAUAUUACAAUAAUAAUUGCACAAUUUAUAAUAAUUCCAAAAUCGACGCAGGUUAAUAUUUAUAAAAGCCCCAGAAUAUUCGAACCCUAAUAAUAAAAAACCGAAUAUUUAUAAGGAUAAAAUAAUUAAUAAAUUUAUACCGACAGGAGAUCCAAUUACCCGAAUUUACGGAUUUAGACGUUUUAGGAAAAUUGGAUAAGGAAUUUUUAAAAUAAACCCACCGUAUUAAAAUAACCAAUUAAAUCCCAAUAUAGGAAUUAAACGAAAAUUUAAAAAGAAAUGCAGCGAAAAAACCAUAUUUUUAAAUUAAUAUAAUAUAAUAGAAAAAAGUUUUUAUAUAUACGAAAAUAAAUAUACCGAUUUAUAA